GACGAACGCUGGCGGCGUGCCUAAUACAUGCAAGUCGAACGCACUCUCGUUUAGAUUGAAGGAGCUUGCUCCUGAUUGAUAAACAUUUGAGUGAGUGGCGGACGGGUGAGUAACACGUGGGUAACCUGCCCUAAAGUGGGGGAUAACAUUUGGAAACAGAUGCUAAUACCGCAUAAAACCUAAACACCGCAUGGUGUAGGGUUGAAAGAUGGUUUCGGCUAAUCACUUUAGGAUGGACCCGCGGUGCAUUAGUUAGUUGGUGAGGUAAAGGGCUCACCAAGACCGUGAUGCAUAGCCGACCUGAGAGGGUAAUCGGCCACACUGGGACUGAGACACGG
rnacentral:rRNA from 1 species